rnacentral:rRNA from 1 species
AUUGAACGCUGGCGGCAGGCCUAACACAUGCAAGUCGAACGGUAACAGGAAGAAGCUUGCUUCUUUGCUGACGAGUGGCGGACGGGUGAGUAAUGUCUGGGAAACUGCCUGAUGGAGGGGGAUAACUACUGGAAACGGUAGCUAAUACCGCAUAACGUCGCAAGACCAAAAAGGGGGACCUUCGGGCCUCUUGCCAUCGGAUGUGCCCAGAUGGGAUUAGCUAGUAGGUGGGGUAACGGCUCACCUAGGCGACGAUCCCUAGCUGGUCUGAGAGGAUGACCAGCCACACUGGAACUGAGACACGGUCCAGACUCCUACGGGAGGCAGCAGUGGGGAAUAUUGCACAAUGGGCGCAAGCCUGAUGCAGCCAUGCCGCGUGUAUGAAGAAGGCCUUCGGGUUGUAAAGUACUUUCAGCGGGGAGGAAGGGAGUAAAAUUAAUACCUUGGCUCAUUGACGUUACCCGCAGAAGAAGCACCGGCUAACUCCGUG